GCUUUAUCCUUUGUUCUUGUUUAACAAAAUCGAUUUAAAUUGUUACUUUUUUCUACCACUAAGUAAUGAUAAAUUAUUGUUAAUAAUUUUUUUAUUUUUUGGAUGCUCAGAAUGCAGGAAAUAGCAUUUCCGGGUUUCAAAUUUCAAAAUUUUUCUCGGGAUUAUCCCUCUAAUAAGUAAUGAUAAAUUACAGUUAAUAUUCGUUAAUUAAAUGGCAUUUCCGUGCUUCAAAUUUCAAAAAUUUUCUGGGGAAAUACACACCCACUCACCUGACCAUUGCUAUCCUCCUCUAAUAAGUAAUGAUAAAUGAUGGUUAAUUUUUUUUACUUUUUGUGCGUUUUUUCCUUUAUUUAUUUCAAAUACAAGUAUAGUUAGCAUAAAUUUUGGAGCAAAUUUGGAUGCUCAGAAUGCAGGAAAUGACAUUUCCGGGAUUAAAAUUUCAAAAAUUUUCUGGGGGAGUACUCCCCCAGACCCCCCCCCCAGUCAUGCGUAGUAUAGUAGCCACACUCGCAGAAAGGUCCCUUUUCAAAAAAUGCCCCCCCCCCCCACGGGAAAAUCCUUUAAAAAGGCCCUGGCUAAACGUGAUGUAAUAUUCCUGCGUGACUGCAAGACCUGAAUUUACAUAGAGAUUUAUAUAAAAGAAUAGAGUGGGCAUUGCCUAAUGAGGGCAAAUAACGCUCUCCGAUUGGCUAAAAUCUCGUUGCCCAGAUGUAAAUUCUCAUUCCCGGAUGCAAAGCCGCGAUUUUUAGAAGCGGGAAGUUUCGAAAUUAAUACAACAGUUGAAAACAUCGAUAUUUUUCAGUUUUAGCACAGUUCAAGCAAGGACUAGAUGCUCAAAAUAAACAAGAAUACCUCGACUUCAAUGCAAAAUAAGUUGUAGAACGGUAGAAAUGUUUAAACUUAGUGCUUUUUCUGAUGUUAAAAAGCGGUGUAGUUUCUUCUCAAUCUUGACUUCGACACGUCCAAAUUUUUAUCAUUUUCCACGAUAAUACCGUUUAUUAUAUAAAGUACAGUGCUUUAUAGAGAUUUAAAAAACUCAUUAAUAAUUCAGGAGCAAAACACAAAGAAACAUCAUAAGCGUGUCGUGGUUUUAUAUGUGAUAAAAAAUCAUGUUAAUUUACAUAAACU